rnacentral:lncRNA from 1 species
AGCUCUUGAACUCUAGGUUAGCAAAGGAAAUGCAACUGAGACCCUCACUAAUACGUGGGGAGAGACCAGUGCCCUUUGGCACUGCCCAUGGGGCUUCUGCUCUAAUAUUCAGGGCAGUCUUGUCUCUGGACUCCAGAAUUUCUAGCCAUGAUACCUCAAAGAUUUGAGAGUUGAUAUCACAGGAAAUACAUACUCUUGGGCCAUUGACUUAAGUCUCAUUUCCCCCAGACACUUAAAAUAGAGAUGAUAUAGGAGGAACUAAACUAAGAUCAACAAAAUCAUCCUCCAACCUUUUAGCAAACUAUAUUCAUUCAAUACACAUUUGUUGAGCUCCUAUUAUAUCCAGGGACUACAGAGGAUGCUCUGGAUGCGUCAGAUCUGGAUCACACAGCGAUUUGGUGUAGGAGAGAUUUGAAAAACCCCAGGCACUAUUACACACGACAGAAAUACUGAGUGGCAUGAGGAAUGUCAACAGAAAGCGUGAAGGGUGAUCAGAUCGGGGGGCAUCUCUGAUGGCAGGUGGCUGAGGUUGCUUUGUUACAAACCUCCUGAGCAGGUAGAAUCUAGCUUCUCUUCAACGAGCAUCCCAAAGUGCAGCUAACUGAAGUGGGAGUUUAUAGCUAAAAUGCAAUCCUGGUAUGUCCAUGUAGCAAACAGUAGCCUCACUUACUUGUUUCUGCCUUUCCUAUGGGGACCCCAGGCUGCCUGCUCCUUCCACACACUGGGAUAAGUACUGACAAACACCUUGUCUGUGUUUGGGUCAGUAUUCAUGCUCAACUCACGAAUGGGCACCGUCUAGUUCAGGGUCAGACUUAUGCCGGGACCAGCACAUACAAAGCAUGUUCUAUGUUCCAAGCCAUGACCCGGGUAACUUACAAACAAGUCACGUGGCCAGUGAGUGAUGGAACCAGAUCCCAGUCCACAUGAGACUGAUUCCAUAGCCCGGGAUCUUCCCAUAGCACAACGGCCAGCUCUUCUCUGGCUUAGUUCACAAGAUACAGCUUCUGUCUUCACCCUCGCUGUCCACCCACGUCCUUCUAUUUAACACAACGUCUGGUUUUGCCUUUUCGCAACAACCUUGUCACCUGACUGCCCAUGACCCAGCGUGACAGUCCCCAAAUUCUGAGGACCAGCAAUUUAGAUCCACUGCCUCCUAUCCAGCUCCUUCUCAGAGACUGACUUCAAAGGUUCCCUGGAAAUGAAAAGCACCAGGCAUUGUGGUGUUUGAUGGCAAUUGCAACAGACCAGCCAGUGGUCCAGCUCUCUCACUGCCUAAGAGUAUCUAGUUACCCCUAAAGAAGCGAGUCCUGGAUCCUGCCACAGCACAAGGCAAGGAUGGAGAGGCACUGCCAAAUAUCUGCUGUGCUGCACAGUUCUGAACCAUUUAUCUAAUAGCUAAUAUAAUAUCAAGUGACAGUUUAAACAGGCUACUUUCACCUAAUCUGUGCAUGCUGUAUGCAAAACAGCUCUGACCCUGGCUUGAUUCCUUAAAGCAUGGAGGAUUUAAUUAUCUCCCACUGUUAUAGAAGUAAUGACAAGUUACUUAGUACUUUUAAGACCGAUAAAUAAAGUCCUUUUGACAAGUGAGCUAAAACCUACCUCAUUACAAAGUUGCAAUACAAAUGCCCCUGUCCUUAAACUCAGGAUUUCUUUUCUUAAGUGAAAAUGGUCCCUAAUCCCAGGACACUUUUAAAUAUGGCACAACCCAGAGCAAGGAACCAUACAGCGCCUUCUCUGAAAAGGGGGAUAAAUUAAGAAAGAGAGGGAGAGGUGGGAGGGCAAAGGAAAUAAAGAGAAGCGUCUAUGGGAGUUCUCACUGUGGCUCAGCGGGUUAAGGACCUGACACAGUCUCCAUGAGGACGCAGGUUCGAUCCCUGGCCUCUCUCAGUGGGUUAAGGAUCCAGCGUUACCAUAACUGAGGAGUAGGUUGCAGAUGAGGCUCGGAUCUGGCAUUGCCAUGGAUGUGGCAUAGGCCUGCAACUGCAGCUCUAAUUCAACUCCUAGCCUGGGAACUUCUGUAUGUCACAGGCACAGCCAUAAAAAGGAAGAAAAAAAAAAAAGAGAGAGAGAGAGAGAAGCAUCUAUCAAUAAAAUUUCCAGUUUCUCUCAAUUCACAUUCAUUUCUCCCAUCUUUCUGGAAGGAAUACUCCUCCUCCCUCCCCACGAAACACAAAUCGGUUCCCUUUCCCCAGGCCCCCCACUUCCAAUCUCUCUUAUUUAACUGAGUUUGACAUGGCUCUAAUACUUAUUUAGAGCUGCAGUGACCUCUGUCCAAGGCCUCACCCCUUCACAGAUGGGUAUUUGUCACUAGGAAAGAAGGUAUGGAUAUUAAUACAGAAAUCAGCAAGGCUGCAAGUGCAACGGACAUAGGGACACACAAUAAGGGACAUUGUCAUAAAUAUGAGUAAUAUUCAGUAAAGGAGGAGUUGCUUCAACUGACUUAAAUACAACUCCAGGUUUGGAUGGUUUUUUUCUUAAAUCAUCAUAUAAUUCAAUGGGAAAAUAAGCAGAAGAAAGCCCGUCACCAAAUGCCACAGCCGUCAGUAGCAAAGCUGGUGUUUCCCCAUGUUUUUGGCAUCACGGUUUCUCUCUAGAAUCUGAUGAGAGUUACAGAUCUGUGUUUGCAAAUAUGUGGCCCAUAGUUGAUAUCCAAUCCAACAUCAUGUUGUUGUUGGCCUGCACUAAUUUAAAAAAAAAAUCUUUGAAUGAAUUGACAAUAUGAAAUUGAAAUGGUUUACACAACGUCCUGAAAACGCACUUCUCCUAAAAAGUUUAAAGGCCUGACAAUAUGAGGCCAGCAUGA